rnacentral:tRNA from 1 species
AACCAUAGCCAAGUGGUAAGGCACCGGUCUGCAACACCGUCAUCGUCGGUUCAAAUCCGACUGGUU